rnacentral:rRNA from 1 species
UACGUAGGGUGCAAGCUUUGUCCGGAAUUAUUGGGCGUAAAGAGCUCGUAGGCGGUUUUUCGCGUCGGCUGUGAAAACCUAGGGCUCAACUCCGGGCUUGCAGCCGAUACGGGCAAACUAGAAUUCGGUAGGGGAGACUGGAAUUCCUGGUGUAGCGGUGAAAUGCGCAGAUAUCAGGAGGAACACCGGUGGCGAAGGCGGGUCUCUGGGCCGAUAUUGACGCUGAGGAGCGAAAGCGUGGGGAGCAAACAGG